CAGAGAGGUUGAGUGGCAUGUCCUGAUACAUCGUGGUACCGUGCGAAGGGAUUUUACUUACUCAACCCAAGUUCAAAGAUAACACUACAACUGACCCUUGAACCACAAGGGUUUGAACUGCAUGAGUCCACUUAGACAUGGAUUUUUUCCCUUCUUCUGCCACCCCUGAGACAACAGGACCAACCCCUCUUCUUCCUCCUCUUCCUCAGCCUAUGCAAUGUGAAGAUGACAAGGAAGAAAACCUUUAUGAUGAUCCAUGUCUACUUAAUGAAUAACUCAGGUAUUCAUCUCAUCAAAGCAAGAAGACCACCUCAGCUCUAGAACCACAGUCUCCCCCUAACUUCAGCUGCACGGAGCAGGGAUAGACACAAAAGACCUUUCCUUCCCAGAUAUUGUUGAAAAAAAAAAAAAAAGAAAAGAAAGAAAGAAAAGAAAAAAUAGAAACUUUUUUUUUCCUUCUGGGAGAAAAAGCUUUUGAGAAGGCCUCAGACAGAGUAAUCGACUUCUCUUCAUGCCUCACUUGUCAGAACUGGAUCUCACCACUCCCAUUCGCAAACCAGUCCCUGCAAAGGGUAGUAGGAUUGCUGUAAUUGGCUUAGGUCAGGAGUCAACAAACUUUUUCUGGAAAGAUCCAGAUAGCAAAUAUUUUAGGCUUUGUGGGCCAAAUGGUCUCUGUUUCACACUACAAUUCUGCCAUUGUAGUGUGAAAGCAGUCAAAGGCAAAGUUUAAAUGGAUGUGGCUGUGUUUCAAUAAAACUUUAUUUAAAAAAAUACAGGUGGUGACAUAACAACUAAACUCUAAGAGUCUGGACAGAAGCCAGACAAAGAAAGCUGUGGAAAGAACAUUGAACUUGGAGUCAGCCCCGCUCACCUGGUCUGAACUCUUGGCUUUGCCUUGUGUCCUCAAGUAACCUACUUCUCUCUGAACCUCAGAUUCUUCAGCUGCAAAAUGGGGAUAAUAAUAUUCACCUACUAAGGUUCUUGUGGGGGAAGUAGGCAAUGGAAGUGAGUGUAAGGAGGGAAGAGUAGAAGGAGUCCAACAAUAAUCUGAGUUUUCUGAGCUCAAGAAUGUCAAUACAGGCAGGGCACAGUGGCUGACGCCUGUAAUCCCAACCGAGGCGGGCAGAUCACCUGAGGUCAAGAGUUCAAGACCAGCCUGGCCAACAUGAUGAAACCCUGUCUCUACUAAAAAUACAAAAAUUAGCCAGGAGUGGUGGCACACGCCUGUAAUCCCAGCUACUCAGGAGGCUGAGGCAGGAGAAUUGCUUGAACCCGGGAGGCGGAGGUUUCAGUGAGCCUAGAUCGCGCCACUGCACUCCAGCCUGUGCGACAGAGCGAGACUCCAUCUAAAAAAAAACCAAAAAACAAAAAAAAUAAAAAUAAAAAAAAAAGAAGUUCAGUGAUAGGUUUCAGAUUCCACACUGCAACCAACUUUGAGCAACUAUCACUUGCCAGGUUUUGGUGGUGGUGUAGAAACUACCUGCAAUUACCCAAAAAGGCUGUUCAAAUACUUCUCCCUUUUCCAGCUACAGACCUGCAAGAGGCUGGAGUUGCUUUGUGUGCUUCAACCAAAACAACAUAUGGCAACAGACUGAAUGCAGAAGCAGAUACAAGAAUCCAGCUGUCUUCUAUUAAGGCAGACAGUAAAGAGACUUGCAAAAAUGUAAAACUACCAUUAUUUUUGCCCUGUUGUGUUUUGGAACAAAACAAAUAGUUUCGUUGAAAAAUUUUUAGAAAAAAAUCAUUUUUCAUAAAAAUGUUAUUUAUGUUAAAAUGGA
rnacentral:lncRNA from 1 species